AGGAUGACAGGAGAGAAAACUAUCAGAUAGUUUGUUCAUAAUUCUCUCUCAUACAGCAGUUAGUCUCCAUGUCUUCGAUCUGUCAUCCUGCAG
rnacentral:miRNA from 1 species